CUUCAAGGCAAAAGAGGAUGCAGCAGGACCAGUCAGGCUGCGGCUGCGUCAGAUGAAGGUGGAGGUGGUGAGAAGGGAAGAUUUCUUCCAUGAAUCAGAAGAAAAGGAUUCCAGCAUGGUUGACCCUUGCAGAACAAUGUGGUUUUGCUGCUGCUUAGCCCUGGGACUGCCAGCUCCGUGCCAUCCCUGCCCUGCACCUGCAUGGCAGGCUUCAGACUAGCAGGUGCUGGAGAAAAUUCUUGAUGGACCUGCCAGACACAUCAAAACAGAAGGUUUGGGAGCACCUGGGUGGCUCAGUUGGUUAAGGGUCCCACUUCAG